GGACGAACGCUGGCGGCGUGCUUAACACAUGCAAGUCGAACGGAAAGGCCCUGCUUUUGUGGGGUGCUCGAGUGGCGAACGGGUGAGUAACACGUGAGUAACCUGCCCUUGACUUUGGGAUAACUUCAGGAAACUGGGGCUAAUACCGGAUAGGAGCUCCUGCUGCAUGGUGGGGGUUGGAAAGUUUCGGCGGUUGGGGAUGGACUCGCGGCUUAUCAGCUUGUUGGUGGGGUAGUGGCUUACCAAGGCUUUGACGGGUAGCCGGCCUGAGAGGGUGACCGGCCACAUUGGGACUGAGAUACGGCCCAGACUCCCACGGGAGGCAGCAGUGGGGAAUAUUGCACAAUGGGCGGAAGCCUGAUGCAGCAACGCCGCGUGCGGGAUGACGGCCUUCGGGUUGUAAACCGCUUUCGCCUGUGACGAAGCGUGAGUGACGGUAAUGGGUAAAGAAGCACCGGCUAACUACGUGCCAGCAGCCGCGGUGAUACGUAGGGUGCGAGCGUUGUCCGGAUUUAUUGGGCGUAAAGGGCUCGUAGGUGGUUGAUCGCGUCGGAAGUGUAAUCUUGGGGCUUAACCCUGAGCGUGCUUUCGAUACGGGUUGACUUGAGGAAGGUAGGGGAGAAUGGAAUUCCUGGUGGAGCGGUGGAAUGCGCAGAUAUCAGGAGGAACACCAGUGGCGAAGGCGGUUCUCUGGGCCUUUCCUGACGCUGAGGAGCGAAAGCGUGGGGAGCGAACAGGCUUAGAUACCCUGGUAGUCCACGCUGUAAACGGUGGGUACUAGGUGUGGGGUCCAUUCCACGGGUUCCGUGCCGUAGCUAACGCUUUAAGUACCCCGCCUGGGGAGUACGGCCGCAAGGCUAAACUCAAAGGAAUUGACGGGGCCCCGCACAAGCGGCGGAGCAUGCGGAUUAAUUCGAUGCAACGCGUAGAACCUUACCUGGGUUUGACAUGGAUCGGGAGCGCUCAGAGAUGGGUGUGCCUCUUUUGGGGUCGGUUCACAGGUGGUGCAUGGCUGUCGUCAGCUCGUGUCGUGAGAUGUUGGGUUAAGUCCCGCAACGAGCGCAACCCUUGUUCACUGUUGCCAGCACGUUAUGGUGGGGACUCAGUGGAGACCGCCGGGGUCAACUCGGAGGAAGGUGGGGAUGACGUCAAGUCAUCAUGCCCCUUAUGUCCAGGGCUUCACGCAUGCUACAAUGGCUGGUACAGAGAGUGGCGAGCCUGUGAGGGUGAGCGAAUCUCGGAAAGCCGGUCUCAGUUCGGAUUGGGGUCUGCAACUCGACCUCAUGAAGUCGGAGUCGCUAGUAAUCGCAGAUCAGCAACGCUGCGGUGAAUACGUUCCCGGGGCUUG
rnacentral:rRNA from 1 species